AUGAUGAAUGUAUUAGCACAGGUGCAGAUGCUGCGCUUCAGCCUUCCUGCCCAGAAAGGCUAUCUGUCUGAUCUGAAGAAGGAAAGAAGGCUGAAGAUUCAAGGCUGUUCUGUCACCUCAUCCUUCCAUCACCUGCAGUCAGUAAGAUCACAGAAUUAUCACGUAAGAAAAUGAAGACUAAAGUAUCAAGACUGAAAAUGGUGACUAUAACUGCACUAUUAGCACUGUUCCCAAAUACACAGUGCUGUCCUCUAGAGGCCAUGCUUAAUACCAAAUAGCUCACAGUUCAUUAACUAAUAGGUUAAAUCAGGAAUGAAUCUUGUAACAGAGCUGAUUCCAAGAAUGAGUAUGUCCAUGCAUACCUAAAAGAUAGCCCAUAUGGUGAUAACAUCUAAACAAGAGAGCAAGCUGUCCCAUGCUGGCUGUUGAGGAAAAUGUACACAUCUUGUGUGACUACUAGCUCCUGUUUGCAGUUCCGUGCUUUGCUCUGGAUCAG
rnacentral:lncRNA from 1 species